rnacentral:tRNA from 1 species
AGGAUAAUAGUUUAAUUUAAAACAUUUAAAUUGCAAUUAAAAAAUAUCAAAAGCUUGAUUCAUCUUU